GACGAACCGUGCGAACGUUGUUCGGAAUCACUGGGCUUAAAGGGCGCGUAGGCGGGCCGCCGCGUCCGGGGUGAAAUCCUCCGGCUCAACCGGAGAACUGCCUCGGAUACUGGGCGUCUCGAGUGUGGUAGGGGUAUGCGGAACUAUCGGUGGAGCGGUGAAAUGCGUUGAUAUCGAUAGGAACUCCGGUGGCGAAGGCGGCAUACUGGACCACCACUGACGCUGAUGCGCGAAAGCCAGGGGAGCGAACGGG
rnacentral:rRNA from 1 species